rnacentral:rRNA from 1 species
AUUGAACGCUGGCGGCAGGCCUAAUACAUGCAAGUCGAACGAGUGGCGGACGGGUGAGUAACACGUGGGAACCUACCCAUCAGAGGGGGAUCACACUUGGAAACAGGUGCUAAUACCGCAUAUUGAUGGAUGGCCCCGCGGUGCAUUAGCUAGUAGGUGGGGUAAAGGCUCACCUAGGCGACGAUCCCUAGCUGGUCUGAGAGGAUGAUCAGCCACACUGGGACUGAGACACGGCCCAGACUCCUACGGGAGGCAGCAGUGGGGAAUAUUGCAAAAUGGGCGAAAGCCUGAUGCAGCCAUGCCGCGUGUAUGAAGAAGGCCUUAGGGUUGUAAAGUACUUUCAGCGGAGAGGCGGUACCCGCAGAAGAAGCACCGGCUAACUCCGUGCCAGCAGCCGCGGUAAUAC